rnacentral:rRNA from 1 species
UACGAGGGGGGCGAGCGUUGUUCGGAAUUAUUGGGCGUAAAGCGUGCGCAGGCGGUCUUGCAAGACAGAUGUGAAAUCCCCGGGCUCAACCUGGGAACUGCAUUUAUGACUGCAAGGCUGGAGUACGGUAGAGGGGGAUGGAAUUCCGCGUGUAGCAGUGAAAUGCGUAGAGAUGUGGAGGAAUACCGAUGGCGAAGGCAGCCCCCUGGGCCAAUACUGACGCUCAUGCACGAAAGCGUGGGGAGCAAACAGG